AUCCCAGUACCGAGCCCUGCCGACACCCACAGGCAGCCUCUGGCAGCACUUGCAGGGCUGUUGCUGAUGUUGCUGGUGGACUGGGUCCUGCUAUUCUGUCAUGGAUGUGAUGUCAAAGAUAUCAAGGAUAUGAUGCCAAUAAGCACACCACCUAACACCAGUGUCGCCAUCCUCCUACGGACGACACGCCUUUAUGAGAGAUGGUCUAUCAAGGAAAAGUAAAUACAAAAAAAGGCAGAUAGGAGUUUUGGCUCAGGAAACUCCUCAAUUGCAGAUGUCUGGUAGCACGAUUAGUGGAAAUAUCACCUGAAUUUGUUCGUAUUUCUUCUUCUCCAGGUCACUGUGGGAACGAGGACGCUGGGAGGGCUGGAAGUGGGAUCUGACACAAAUACAGGUGGUCUCAGGCUCUGGUGACAGCCGUGCACAACGUUGCAACAGGGCUUACCUUCGUCUUGGCAGCUGUUCUGUUUUGCCUCUAGGUGCCCUGCCGUAAAACAUAACGCACUCCUCGGCUCCAGCUUUACCCCUUAGCAAGUUUGGUUUGCAGAAAUGCUCAGAAGUCCCAGGUGAGAUCGAAGUACCUUGUCCUGGUGAUUUCUCACGUGUUCCUGUACUCAUGAAUGUUCAGGUGACUGCAGAGCAACUCAAUACGUGUGAUCUAGAGUUUUACAUAAAAGACACAAGAAAAGCCUGCUGUUUCACAUGCUGUCACAACGAACAAAGGGAGUACUCAGAAGCCAAGUGGAUUUUGCUUCGCAUUUUUUGAUUCAUUAAAAAGACCAGCUGCAAAUCUCUGCUGGAAUAAAUCAGCGCCGCUCAUGAGGCUCCAGGACCCGGACCCAAAGAGCCAUCGCCACUAUGAGGCAGAUCCAGCCCUGCUGUCCUUCCUGCCUGACUUCAUAAACCAGAAAACCUGAACAACGAAUGCACGUUCUUUUGGUUACUCUCAUAUGAUCUGCCAGGCUGCAAUUACUGUUUUUCAUGUCCUCCUCCCCUUCCCAGAAACACAGGGUUAAUGCCUGCUCCAAAACGCACUUGAAUGCCAAGCCUAAGACUUGCUUAACCCCAUGGAGAGAAAGUUCUGCAGAAAUACAGUGUGUCUCACUCCUAGGUUAUGUCGUUUCAAUCCAGAAUCACCAUGCUCUCCACUGAAAAAACUGUGUAACAAAGGCUGCAAAAGUAGCCCUUCUCCCUGGAAAAUCAGGCUGGCAGCAGGAAUGCAGGAGCUAACUGCAGGGCACUUUUCUCAUCAGUGGUGACACAGACCAGAAGAGAACCUCACACACAAUAUUUGAAGCUUAUUAAACACAUAAACUCAUUGCCCAGUUUUGGGGGGAUGUUUUUAAUGGCUCAUACUGCACCUUGGCGAAAGAGAUUUUCUUGCACCGAGCAGCUGGGCGCGUGCCCAAGUGGAAGCAGAGCGCUGCCUGCUGCUAUUUGGUUUGCAGCACAGCAAAUACACAGUGUUUUAAUGCAUUUGCAGAACUAAGCAUGAUCCUAGUCCCUGUACCUAUGUCCACACCUGACAAGCUGAACACUGCCAAAACACACGUGCAAGAACUGAUCCAUGUGCAUCUUGGUGACUACCUGCGUUGUCUCAGGACAGCGAGCGGACAGCCUGAGGGGGAGAGAGGCUGGUGCAGAGCCCAGCCUGGGACGGGGUGGCAGGCCAGCCUGGGAGAGCAGACACAGCGCUUCCCAACGAAGCAAGGAGGCAAACUUGAGAAGCUAAAGAUGGAAACCCCAAGGCCCAAGGACUGCCAGGUCAGCGUAACUGCAAUUCCUUAACCAGCACAAACAACCUCUUCAUGAACAGGCCAGGCAAGGCACAUCCACCACAGCUUACCUUGAACCUCCCGGUCUCCUGCUGGGACCACAUGGGCUGACUAAUUUCAACCAAAUUGAAUCGAAGGGGAAAUUGAUGAAUGUGUGGAGGUUCCCAAUGCUUUUGCAGGUGCUUUACAUGGUGCAGGUGCUUUUCUGAAGGCAGCCUUUCCAUGGCUUCACAUGGAACUGAGCUGCUGAUUCUAUGAUUCUAUGAUUCUUUUCAACCAAAAAAAUGAGAAUUAGACUUCAAAAUAGAGCAUGCUUAUUUUGGAGUCUCUGUAUCAUUACUACAGUGAGAGAUUUUGUGUCUUUUUGCCACACCUCCAGUAACGUAUGGAGAUUCAGCAAAGGUUUUUUACCAGUUUCAAUCAAAGCAGUACAUCGAGAUACCAGCAAAGCAAUUUCCUGCAUUUCUGCAGCAUCACCAGGACUCCAUGAAGACGUGGGUCUCUGUUCCAAGUAUUCCUAAUGAAAUAUGGAACCAAAAGGUAAAUGUAUGCUCCUCAUGUGAGCCUGAUGGUUCUCACAGAGAGGUGAAGAUUCCCUUAAAGAGCACCUGCGGAGAGCACUGUGCUGUCAGCACAGGAUGACUGCAUCUCACAGAGCACAGCUAGGAUGGGAAGAGGAAAAAGGUGUCAAGUAAAGCCAUGAACAGGGCAAUUUAUUUCUUCUCUAUCUAUCCCCCCCUCCCAUGCUCCUCUUUAGGCUCACAUUUCUUCACAAGCAAUUAAUUCCUGUGAUAUGUCAUUU